rnacentral:rRNA from 1 species
UACGGGGGGGGGCGAGCGUUGUUCGGAAUUACUGGGCGUAAAGGGUUUGUAGGUGGUCUGCUAAGUCAGACGUGAAAUCCCUCAGCUUAACUGGGGAACUGCGUCUGAUACUGGAUGGCUUGAGUUUGGGAGAGGGAUGCGGAAUUCCAGGUGUAGCGGUGAAAUGCGUAGAUAUCUGGAGGAACACCGGUGGCGAAGGCGGCAUCCUGGACCAACACUGACGCUGAGUGAGCGAAAGCCAGGGGAGCAAACGGG